GGGCAAAGACAAAAAGAGUGAAGAGAUUAAGUAGUACAAAUUGGUUAUUACAGAAUAAUCACAGAGAUAUAAAGUAUAGCACAGGGAAUAUAGUCAAU